CGCCAGCCCGCUCAGAAACUCAAAUGAAUGACGGGGCCCGCACAAGCGGAGGAGCAUGUGGUUUAAUUCGAUGAUACGCGAGGAACCUUACCUGGGCUCGAACGUAAGAUGACUGUAGGUGAAAGCUUACAUCUCUUCGGAGCAUUUUACGAGGUGCUGCAUGGUUGUCGUCAGCUCGUGCCGUGAGGUGUCGGGUUAAGUCCCAUAACGAGCGCAACCCCUACCUUUAGUUGCCAUCAGGUUAAGCUGGGGACUCUAAAGGAACUGCCUACGCAAGUAGUGAGGAAGGCGGGGAUGACGUCAAAUCAGCACGGCCCUUACGUCCAGGGCUACACACGUGCUACAAUGGCCGAUACAGAGGGCAGCUACCUGGUGACAGGAUGCAAAUCUCCAAAGUCGGUCUCAGUUCGGAUCGGAGUCUGCAACCCGACUCCGUGAAGUUGGAUUCGCUAGUAAUCGCGCAUCAGCCAUGGCGCGGUGAAUACGUUCCCGGGCCUU
rnacentral:rRNA from 1 species